CGGCGUGCCUAACACAUGCAAGUCGAGCGAGAAAGUUUAGUUUACUGAACGAGUAAAGCGGCGAACGGGUGAGUAACACGUGGAUUAUCUGCCUGAAAGUUUGGGAUAACAUCGGGAAACCGUUGCUAAUACCAAAUGUGGAAGUAAUUCUAAAGGGGGCCUCUUCUAUGCUCCCGCUUUCAGAUGAGUCCGCGUCCUAUCAGCUUGUUGGUGAGGUAAUGGCUCACCAAGGCAUAGACGGGUAGCCGGCCUGAGAGGGUGUACGGCCACAUGGGGACUGAGAUACGGCCCUGACUCCUACGGGAGGCAGCAGUGAGGAAUAUUGCCCAAUGGGGGAAACCCUGAGGCAGCGACGCCGCGUGAGGGAUGAAGUCUUUCGAGACGUAAACCUCUUUUAAGUGGGACGAAACAGUGAGUAGUGAAUAAUUACUCGCCUUGACGGUACCAUUUGAAUAAGCCCCGGCUAACUACGUGCCAGCAGCCGCGGUAAAACGUAGGGGGCAAGCGUUGCUCGGAUUCACUGGGUCUAAAGGGCUCGCAUGCGGACAUUUAAGUCCUGGGUUAAAUUUACAGGCUCAACUUGUACCUGCCUGGGAAACUGGAUGUCUUGAGGAAGAGAGAGGAAACGGGAAUUCCCGGUGUAACGGUGGAAUGUGUAGAUAUCGGGAGGAACACCAACGGCGAAGGCAAGUUUCUAGCUCUUACCUGACGCUCAGGAGCGAAAGCGUGGGGAGUAAACAGGAUUAGAUACCCUGGUAAUCCACGCCCUAAACGAUGGGUGCUAGGUGUNGGGAUAAAAAAUCUCGGUGCCGAAGAGAAGUCGUUAAGCACCUCACCUGGGGAUUACGGCCGCAAGGCUGAAACUCAAAGGAAUUGACGGGUCCCCGCACAAAGCGGUGGAGCAUGUUGUUUAAUUCGUAGCAACGCGAAGAACCUUACCAGGGCUUGACAUGUCCGGAACCUUGCCGAGAGGUGAGGGUGCCUUCGGGAGCCGGAACACAGGUGGUGCAUGGCUGUCGUCAGCUCGUGUCGUGAGAUGUUGGGUUAAGUCCCGCAACGAGCGCAACCCACGUUCUUAGUUGCCAGCAUUGAGUUGGGCACUCUAGGGAGACUGCCGGUGACAAACCGGAGGAAGGUGUGGAUGACGUCAAGUCAGCAUGCCCCUUACGUCCUGGGCUACACACGUACUACAAUGCUGUGGACAAAGGGCAGCCAGCCGGCGAUGGUGAGCUAAUCCCAGAAACCACGGCUCAGUUCAGAUUGCAGGCUGCAACUCGCCUGCAUGAAGGAGGAAUCGCUAGUAAUCGCAGGUCAGCAUACUGCGGUGAUACGUUCCCGGGCCUUGUACACACCGCCCGUCACACCAUGGGAGUUGGUUUUGCCCGAAGUCGUUACUCCAACCUUAGGGAGGG
rnacentral:rRNA from 1 species